rnacentral:rRNA from 1 species
CAGUCGUACGCUUCUUUUUCACCGGAGCUUGCUCCACCGGAAAAAGAAGAGUGGCGAACGGGUGAGUAACACGUGGGUAACCUGCCCAUCAGAAGGGGAUAACACUUGGAAACAGGUGCUAAUACCGUAUAACAAUCGAAACCGCAUGGUUUUGAUUUGAAAGGCGCUUUCGGGUGUCGCUGAUGGAUGGACCCGCGGUGCAUUAGCUAGUUGGUGAGGUAACGGCUCACCAAGGCCACGAUGCAUAGCCGACCUGAGAGGGUGAUCGGCCACAUUGGGACUGAGACACGGCCCAAACUCCUACGGGAGGCAGCAGUAGGGAAUCUUCGGCAAUGGACGAAAGUCUGACCGAGCAACGCCGCGUGAGUGAAGAAGGUUUUCGGAUCGUAAAACUCUGUUGUUAGAGAAGAACAAGGAUGAGAGUAACUGUUCAUCCCUUGACGGUAUCUAACCAGAAAGCCACGGCUAACUACGUGCCAGCAGCCGCGGUAAUACGUAGGUGGCAAGCGUUGUCCGGAUUUAUUGGGCGUAAAGCGAGCGCAGGCGGUUUCUUAAGUCUGAUGUGAAAGCCCCCGGCUCAACCGGGGAGGGUCAUUGGAAACUGGGAGACUUGAGUGCAGAAGAGGAGAGUGGAAUUCCAUGUGUAGCGGUGAAAUGCGUAGAUAUAUGGAGGAACACCAGUGGCGAAGGCGGCUCUCUGGUCUGUAACUGACGCUGAGGCUCGAAAGCGUGGGGAGCAAACAGGAUUAGAUACCCUGGUAGUCCACGCCGUAAACGAUGAGUGCUAAGUGUUGGAGGGUUUCCGCCCUUCAGUGCUGCAGCUAACGCAUUAAGCACUCCGCCUGGGGAGUACGACCGCAAGGUUGAAACUCAAAGGAAUUGACGGGGGCCCGCACAAGCGGUGGAGCAUGUGGUUUAAUUCGAAGCAACGCGAAGAACCUUACCAGGUCUUGACAUCCUUUGACCACUCUAGAGAUAGAGCUUCCCCUUCGGGGGCAAAGUGACAGGUGGUGCAUGGUUGUCGUCAGCUCGUGUCGUGAGAUGUUGGGUUAAGUCCCGCAACGAGCGCAACCCUUAUUGUUAGUUGCCAUCAUUCAGUUGGGCACUCUAGCAAGACUGCCGGUGACAAACCGGAGGAAGGUGGGGAUGACGUCAAAUCAUCAUGCCCCUUAUGACCUGGGCUACACACGUGCUACAAUGGGAAGUACAACGAGUCGCGAAGUCGCGAGGCUAAGCUAAUCUCUUAAAGCUUCUCUCAGUUCGGAUUGUAGGCUGCAACUCGCCUACAUGAAGCCGGAAUCGCUAGUAAUCGCGGAUCAGCACGCCGCGGUGAAUACGUUCCCGGGCCUUGUACACACCGCCCGUCACACCACGAGAGUUUGUAACACCCGAAGUCGGUGAGGUAACCUUUGGAGCCAGC